GGGUGCGAUCAUACCAGCACUAAUGCACCGAAUCCAAUCAAAACUCCGCAGUUAAACGUUCUUGGGCGAGAGUAGUACUAGGAUCGGUGACCUCUUGGGAAGUCCUCGUCUUGCACCCC
rfam:Gossypium raimondii scaffold_901_contig_1, whole genome shotgun sequence.